rnacentral:sRNA from 1 species
UGUCAAUGUAUUCGUUGGUUCCUUGUCA